AAAAAUGGUUUCCCCAGGCCCCUCGAGUGAAAAUACCAGACCUGACGAGAGCUGUUAACGAACUCCGUGAGGAGGUCAGAGCCAUCCGCAAUACCGGCUGCAAUGAAUCGGUAGAUGCUGGGGUACUGCCUCUGGAUUUGCCCUUGCACAACAUUGAGGAGCUAAACAAUGCAGAGCCAGCUCUUCAAUCACAAGAGGCAAAUAAGGCAAUGAUGGCCUGACGCAGCAGUUAGGGGCAAACUCUAUGUCCGAGUUUGUCUUUGCACAAGCAGUGCAGAAAUGGCUCCGAUACGCCCCAGAUCGUUUGGGUGGUGCAGGACGCACAUCAUGCA